UUAUUGUUGCUGAGGUUGCUGAUGAUAAUAUUGUUGUUGUUAUUGUUGAAUUGGAAUUGCGAAAUGUUGUUAUUGUUGUUGGACUGGCGCUAUAAAGGAGACUUGAUGAUACAUGACACGGUAUGUUGGGUCUCUUACUCUGAUUACUGCGGUUGCAUUUUCUUCUCCUUCCCUUUUCUUUAUAUACGCGACAAAGGGUUUCUUUACAACACUAGAGGUGCUUGCAGAAUUCUUGAUUUUCCCCAUCUUUAUCAUAUUUUUAAUUCUUU
rnacentral:lncRNA from 1 species